AUGUACGCGUGUGAUUCCGACGGGCAGCCUCUGGUGGAGGUGUUCUCCGUCCGCGUCCACGGCGGUGAAGCCCUCACCGGCACCGUCAGCGUCUUCGACGGCAAGCGCGGGCAGAUCAUCUACAACAACACCCCGGAGCAUCCCCACAAACCAGCUGCUUCUUCCCGCCACCGGAGUUCCGGCAAGCUCCCGCUGACGGGCCCCUACCGAGCCAUCUCUGCAGACGGGUGCGUCGCCAUCGUGCUCGACCUCCAAGGUCGCUGCCAGAACAAGGCAGCACCGUCGCCGUCUUCUUCUUCAUCGUCGUACGUGUCUGAGAUACUAGUGGACGUCUACGACGAGAACACAAGGUACGACGAGGCCAUCACCCAUGACGACGGCUUCGUACAGGUGAGGUACGCGCUGCUGAGCGACGCCGUGGAAGCCAUCGUCGAGGUGAAGCUCCUCCGGCCACGAGCCAGCGGCACGGUCCGCGGGACGGUCGUCGCUCGCACUGUCCUAGGCGAGGUGGUGCUCUUCGACGUCGGCGAGACCACCACGAGCAUCGGCACCCUCCCGCUCGCCAGGUCGGUCGUCGCCGUCCAGCUGACGUCGUUGCUAACGAUCGAAGUAGAUCUGCGUCUCGAUGGCGAUGAGACCGUGAGUGGAUCUGUUGCGUGCCAACCCAAACCCGGUACCAAGGAAGUUCGUGGCCUCGCUGGUGGUGAGGUGGAGGUGACCGUGACAUGGUUAGACUAG
rnacentral:rRNA from 1 species